UUAUCGGAAUGAGAACAAUUCAAAUCCUUUAACGAGGAUCUAGCGGAGGGCAAGUCUGGUGCCAGCAGCCGCGGUAAUUCCAGCUCCGCAGGUGUAUAUCUAUGCUGCUGCGGUUAAAAAGCUCGUAGUUGGAUCUGCGUGCUCGGAACUGGUUGGCUCACUGAGUUCAAACUGGUCUCCGGCGCUUUAUUGGCUGGUCUUCCCUUGAUGCUCUUAGCCGGGUGUCUUGGGUGGCUAGCACGUUUACUUUGAAAAAAUUAGAGUGCUCAAUACAGGCGUAAAGCCUUGAAUAGUGGUGCAUGGAAUAAUAGAAUAGGACCUCGGCUCUAUUUUGUUGGUUUUCGGAACGCGAGGUAAUGAUUAAGAGGGACAGACGGGGGCAUUCGUAUUGCGACGUUAGAGGUGAAAUUCUUGGAUCGUCGCAAGACGGACGACUGCGAAAGCAUUUGCCAAGAAUGUUUUCAUUAAUCAAGAACGAAAGUUAGAGGUUCGAAGGCGAUCAGAUACCGCCCUAGUUCUAACCGUAAACGAUGCCAACUAGCGAUUCGCAGGCGUUAAACAACGACCUUGCGGGCAGCUUCCCGGAAACGAAAGUGUUCGGGUUCCGGGGGAAGUAUGGUUGCAAAGCUGAAACUUAAAGGAAUUGACGGAAGGGCACCACCAGGAGUGGAGCCUGCGGCUUAAUUUGACACAACACGGGAAAACUCACCCGGCCCGGACACCGUAAGGAUUGACAGAUUGAGAGCUCUUUCUUGAUUCGGUGGGUGGUGGUGCAUGGCCGUUCUUAGUUGGUGGAGCGAUUUGUCUGGUUUAUUCCGAUAACGAACGAGACUCUGGCCUACUAAAUAGUGGGCGGAUUCUUUCUGUCCGCAACACUUCUUAGAGGGACAAGCGGUGUUCAGCCGCACGAGAUUGAGCAAUAACAGGUCUGUGAUGCCCUUAGAUGUCCGGGGCUGCACGCGCGCCACACUGAAGGAAUCAGCGUGCUUUCUGACCUUGCCCGAAAGGGCUGGGUAACCCGAUGAAAAUCCUUCGUGAUUGGGAUAGGGACUUGCAAUUAUUUCCCUUGAACGAGGAAUUCCCAGUAAGUGUGGGUCAUAAGCUCGCGUUGAUUACGUCCCUGCCCUUUGUACACACCGCCCGUCGCUGCCCGGAACUGAGCCGUUUCGAGAAGAACAGGGACCGUCGUUGAAGGGCCUUAACGGGCUUUUCUCUGAUAGAAACUGUU
rnacentral:rRNA from 1 species